rnacentral:rRNA from 1 species
ACAGGUGCUGCAUGGCUGUCGUCAGCUCGUGUCGUGAGAUGUUGGGUUAAGUCCCGCAACGAGCGCAACCCUUGUCAUUAGUUGCUACAUUCAGUUGGGCACUCUAAUGAGACUGCCGUGACAAGCCGGAGGAAGUGGGGAUGACGUCAAGUCCUCAUGGCCCUUAUAGGUGGGCUACACACGUCAUACAAUGGCUGGUACAAAGGGUUGCCAACCCGCGAGGGGGAGCCAAUCCCAUAAAGCCAGUCGUAGUCCGGAUCGUAGUCUGCAACUCGACUGCGUGAAGUCGGAAUCGCUAGUAAUCGCGGAUCAGAAUGUCGCGGUGAAUACGUUCCCGGGUCUU